rnacentral:rRNA from 1 species
GACGAACGCUGGCGGCGUGCCUAAUACAUGCAAGUAGAACGCUGAAGAGAGGAGCUUGCUCUUCUUGGAAGAGUUGCGAACGGGUGAGUAACGCGUAGGUAACCUGCCUUGUAGCGGGGGAUAACUAUUGGAAACGAUAGCUAAUACCACAUAACAAUGGGUGACCCAUGUCAUUCAUUUGAAAGGGGCAACUGCUCCACUACAAGAUGGACCUGCGUUGUAUUAGCUAGUAGGUGAGGUAACGGCUCACCUAGGCGACGAUACAUAGCCGACCUGAGAGGGUGAUCGGCCACACUGGGACUGAGACACGGCCCAGACUCCUACGGGAGGCAGCAGUAGGGAAUCUUCGGCAAUGGGGGCAACCCUGACCGAGCAACGCCGCGUGAGUGAAGAAGGUUUUCGGAUCGUAAAGCUCUGUUGUAAGUCAAGAACGAGUGUGAGAGUGGAAAGUUCACACUGUGACGGUAGCUUACCAGAAAGGGACGGCUAACUACGUGCCAGCAGCCGCGGUAAUACGUAGGUCCCGAGCGUUGUCCGGAUUUAUUGGGCGUAAAGCGAGCGCAGGCGGUUUGAUAAGUCUGAAGUUAAAGGCUGUGGCUCAACCAUAGUUCGCUUUGGAAACUGUCAAACUUGAGUGCAGAAGGGGAGAGUGGAAUUCCAUGUGUAGCGGUGAAAUGCGUAGAUAUAUGGAGGAACACCGGUGGCGAAAGCGGCUCUCUGGUCUGUAACUGACGCUGAGGCUCGAAAGCGUGGGGAGCGAACAGG